rnacentral:rRNA from 1 species
GAUGAACGCUGGCGGCGUGCCUAAUACAUGCAAGUAGAACGCUGAAGGAGGAGCUUGCUCUUCUGGAUGAGUUGCGAACGGGUGAGUAACGCGUAGGUAACCUGCCUGGUAGCGGGGGAUAACUAUUGGAAACGAUAGCUAAUACCGCAUGACAACAGUUAUUGCAUGAUAACUGUUUAAAAGGGGCAACUGCUCCACUACCAGAUGGACCUGCGUUGUAUUAGCUAGUUGGUGAGGUAACGGCUCACCAAGGCGACGAUACAUAGCCGACCUGAGAGGGUGAUCGGCCACACUUGGACUGGGACACGGCCCAGACUCCUACGGGAGGCAGCAGUAGGGAAUCUUCGGCAAUGGACGGAAGUCUGACCGAGCAACGCCGCGUGAGUGAAGAAGGGUUUCGGAUCGUAAAGCUCUGUUGUAAGGGAAGAACGAGUGUGAGAGUGGAAAGUUCACACUGUGACGGUAUCUUACCAGAAAGGGACGGCUAACUACGUG